AAGACGGUGCUGAAAGGGAUCAUUUCUCUAGAUUAUCACUGGAGAAGUUUCUCCGAUCGUGUAGAGAAACCAGGGGAAGAGUCAGGUCAUCCGCCCAGCGUGGGAAGCCGGUUGUAGGUGUUGCUUUGGUGAGUCCCUUUAAGCACUGAAGACUGUUCUCGUCCUUCCGGAGAGGGAGAGGGAGACGAUGCAGUCUGAGUGG
rnacentral:snoRNA from 1 species